rnacentral:rRNA from 1 species
AUUGAACGCUGGCGGCAGGCCUAACACAUGCAAGUCGAACGGUAACAGGAAGAAGCUUGCUUCUUUGCUGACUAGUGGCGGACGGGUGAGUAAUGUCUGGGAAACUGCCUGAUGGAGGGGGAUAACUACUGGAAACGGUAGCUAAUACCGCAUAACGUCGCAAGACCAAAAAGGGGGACCUUCGGGCCUCUUGCCAUCGGAUGUGCCCAGAUGGGAUUAGCUAGUAGGUGGGGUAACGGCUCACCUAGGCGACGAUCCCUAGCUGGUCUAAGAGGAUGACCAGCCACACUGGAACUGAGACACGGUCCAGACUCCUACGGGAGGCAGCAGUGGGGAAUAUUGCACAAUGGGCGCAAGCCUGAUGCAGCCAUGCCGCGUGUAUGAAGAAGGCCUUCGGGUUGUAAAGUACUUUCAGCGGGGAGGAAGGGAGUAAAGUUAAUACCUUUGCUCAUUGACGUUACCCGCAGAAGAAGCACCGGCUAACUCCGUG